GGAGGGGGGCUUGUUUUUUUGACUGAGGACGUAAUGAGGGGGGUUUUGUGUUUUUUCGACUCAAAACUGGGGGCGGUGUUUCGUUUUUUCUGGCUUGGAAUGUAAGGGGGAGGUGUUAUAUAUUUUUCUGUCACAAGAUGUAAGAUUCUCUUUGGAAGACACCAUUCACCUACCGAAUGGAGGGAUGAAACAUUGAGGAAAGAAGCGGAUCAGUGAUAUGGUAUCACCCGAGCCGGUAGGACCAAGGGCACCAAUCCAGCCAAUCGUCAGACAUC